rnacentral:misc_RNA from 1 species
AACGCAUAUUGCGCCCAUUAGUAUUCUAGUGGGCAUGCCUGUUCGAGCGUCAUUUCAACCCUCAAAGUCUCUUUUACUGACUUGGUGUUGGGGCUCUGUAAUUCAUAUGUUACAGGCCCUGAAAGACAUUGGCGAGCUUGCUGUAGGCCCGAGUGUAGUAGAUCAUUAUUUCGCUCAGGAGUGUACAGUGGGUGUUAAUCUGCCACUAAAAACACAAUUGUUUUAACAAGGUUGACCUCGGAUCAGGUAGGAAUACCCGCUGAACUUAA